AUUGAACGCUGGCGGCGUGCCUAACACAUGCAAGUCGAGCGGUAACAGGUGUAGCAAUACAUGCUGACGAGCGGCGAACGGGUGAGUAAUGCUUCGGAAUCUACCUUAUGGUGGGGAAUAACUAGCCGAAAGGUUAGCUAAUACCGCAUACGUCCUACGGGAGAAAGCAGGGGAUCGCAAGACCUUGCGCCAAAAGAUGAGCCGAAGUCGGAUUAGCUAGUUGGUAGGGUAACGGCCUACCAAGGCGACGAUCCGUAGCUGGUCUGAGAGGACGACCAGCCACACUGGGACUGAGACACGGCCCAGACUCCUACGGGAGGCAGCAGUGGGGAAUAUUGGACAAUGGGGGAAACCCUGAUCCAGCGACGCCGCGUGUGUGAAGAAGGCCUGCGGGUUGUAAAGCACUUUUAGUGGGGAUGAAAUGUGCAGGGUUAAUACCUCUGCAUUUUGACCUAACCCACAGAAAAAGCACCGGCUAACUCUGUGCCAGCCGCCGCCGUAA
rnacentral:rRNA from 1 species